GACGAACGCUGGCGGCGUGCUUAACACAUGCAAGUCGAACGGAAAGGCCCUGCUUUUGUUGGUUGCUCGAGUGGCGAACGGGUGAGUAAAACGUGAGUAAACUGCCCCUGACUUUGGGAUAACUUCAGGAAACUGGGGCUAAUAUCGGAUAGGAGCUCCUGCUGCAUGGUGGGGGUUGGAAAGUUUCGGCGGUUGGGGAUGGACUCGAGGCUUAUCAGCUUGUUGGUGAGGUAGUGACUUACCAAGGCUUUGACGGGUAGGCGGCCUGAGAGGUGGAACGGGCACCAUGGGCCUGAGGUACGGCCCAGACUCCUACGGGACGCAGCAGUGGGGAGUAUUGCACAGUAGGGGGAAGCCUGAUGCAGCAAUGCCGCGUUCGGGAUGCCGGCCUUCGAGGUGUAAACCGCUGUCGCCUGUGCCGAAGCGUGAUUGACGGUAAUGGGUAAAGAAGCACCGGCUAACUACGUG
rnacentral:rRNA from 1 species